rnacentral:rRNA from 1 species
AACGUAGGUUCCGAGCGUUAUCCGGAUUUACUGGGCGUAAAGCGCGUUCAGGCGGUUUGGCAAGUCGGGCAUGAAAUCUCUCGGCUCAACCGGGAGAGGUUGUCCGAUACUGCUGGACUUGAGGGCAGUAGAGGGUGGUGGAAUUCCGGGUGUAGUGGUGAAAUGCGUAGAUAUCCGGAGGAACACCAGUGGCGAAAGCGGCCACCUGGACUGCACCUGACGCUGACACGCGAAAGCUAGGGGAGCGAACAGG